CGGGGGGUGGGUAGGUGUUGCGAGUCUCCUUCGAUACAAUGAGGAGAUUCACUCAGUCUCAAGCCGUGGUCCUCGAGGCGACCUUCGUUCUCCUCCUCUCGUGGCUCGCCUUCUGCUUCUAGUCCGAUUUGGAAAGCUACGAGAUGGACGCACCGUAUGGCUUCAGAUCUGGCCGUGGAUUUGCCAAUCGGACACGUGCUUCGCCACCAGCCAUUGGCUUGUAUUCUCUCUCUCCCUCUCUCUCUCUCUCUCUCUCUCUCUCUAACUUCACUUCUCAAUACAUGGACAGAUGGACCGAUUUCGGUUUGAUAUUCCAAGAAUCCUGGCUGUUCGGACGCUGAAGUAACGUUUUCUGCAAGAGAGAUGUGGUGUGGAGGGUACAUUAGUCAGAGUUUCCUAUUGACGGCGGAUGAGUUGGCGAGCAGUCUCCGUAAACGAUGGUUAAGGUUUCAGCUCCUGAGACAUCUAUGAAGAAGCAUGGUCGAGGCUAUGCUAAGGGCAUGAAGAAGUGGGAUAGUGGAGCCAAACUUUAGGUCAUGUUUGAUAAUGUCUGUGGUUUAUGACCUGACUUCUCUUUUAUUUUGUUGUACUUUGGUGCAGGUGUGUCUUGGACUUAACAAGAUCACUACGCAAGUAUGUUAGGCCACUCGAGAUUGAGCAAAUGCUAAGCUUUGAGAUUGCACAAAGGCUCAAGGAAGUGAUUGAACAGAGGCUCAUGAAACAGAUUGAGCGUAUGCUUAAUGGCUUAAUAAGAGGUUAAUGGCUCAUCUUGAGUGCAUGGGGGCUCAGACUGGACAGGUGCUAUCUAAAUGUUUGGAUUUUCUUUUUGUUGUAUAUAUUUUUUAAGCAUGUCAUAGUGACAUCAAUGUUUGAUAAUCAACAAAACAGACAAACAUACGAGAAUUGUGUUACAGAAUUGCCAUCGUGUGCAUAUUUUAACCAAUGCAGGUGAAGUAGUUUCAGGCAUUAAAGACGUCUCUCAUGCUUGCUGUGUUUUGCAGAAUGUGUUUUUAAGGAUUUUAUUGCUCUUGCUGCUACUUUUACUUUUGAUCAUGUUACUGAAACAAAGGUUCCUAGGAAAACUGUGGUGGAAGCUCAUAACAUUGCCAAAGGAAAUUGAAAAACUUUAGUUGUAUCUGCAUAUGUUUAAUGUGCUCUAAAAGACUCGGCCCCCUCGCUCGAGGUCUUGGAAAUGGUCAGAAAUGAUACGUAGCAGUUAAUCUUUCAUUUGCAAUUCAUUGUUGACUUGAGCACUUAUACCUCUCUGUAUUUCGUUCUUUGUUAACUUCUAGCUGUUCAUUUGCAGCAGCUCUUAGUUUAAGCUUCUAAUGGGGUAUAGUGUACUAAAAUUAUCAGGUUUCUUCCUAAAUUAUGAUCAAGUCAUUACUCAAAAUAUCAAAUACUGCAGGAUAAGUUUGACUUGUUAGGUGAUCCUAUCGAUGUUGAAAAUGCAGUAGCAACGCAAUGUGGACAGAGGCUGAGCAAUCACAACUUCAUUGUGCACAAAAAAAAUACAAGAAACUUAGAGAAACGAGGGGGGGAAGAGUAUGCUAGAAACAACCCACCAGUGGACAAGCUUAAUAACUAAGAAGUGGGCUGUUCCAAUAUGACAGAGCAAGUGGAAGGAAAUGAAGUAGCAAACAAUAAGAUAGACGAGCUAGUAGAGGCAAAAGAGGAACAUGGGAGGACUUUGGAUAGUGUUUUGGCGUUUCUUAAACACCAAGGAUUUACCGGUUAACCACUUGCUGAUUGAAUAUGCAUAAGUUUGGUAGCAAGGAAGAUGGUAUAUAUAUGCUCUACUAUGAAGACUUUUUGUUUGGAUAUCUGCUUCUACGAAGAUUCUUUUUUUUGGAUGAAGUUCCGAGUCUUCUUUUCUGGAUAUAUGCUUCUAUGAAGACUCCUUUUUGGUUGAAGUUUCGAGUCUUCUUUUUUUUAUUUUAAUGAUGCUACCUAUAUGGUAUGGUCUACCUUUCAUGUUUUUUUCAUGGAGACAUUGAUGCUUUGGACCCUAUCGGUGGAUGUACAUUUUGGUGUAGAGUACAUAGUUCUCGUGGUUAAUGGAUGUCUAAUUUAGACAUGAUUAUAUUGAUUUA